GACGAACGCUGGCGGCGUGCUUAACACAUGCAAGUCGAACGGUAAGGCCCCUUCGGGGGUACACGAGUGGCGAACGGGCGAGUAACACGUGAGCAACCUGCCCUUGACUCUGGAAUAACAGUUGGAAACAGCUGCUAAUACUGGAUAUUCAUCGUCUCCUUCCUGGGGGGUGGUGGAAAGCUCCGGCGGUCAGGGAUGGGCUCGCGGCCUAUCAGCUUGUUGGUGAGGUAAUGGCUCACCAAGGCUUCGACGGGUAGCCGGCCUGAGAGGGCGACCGGCCACACUGGGACUGAGAUACGGCCCAGACUCCUACGGGAGGCAGCAGUGGGGAAUAUUGCACAAUGGGCGCAAGCCUGAUGCAGCAACGCCGCGUGCGGGAUGACGGCCUUCGGGUUGUAAACCGCUUUCAGUAGGGACGAAGGGUGACUGACGGUACCUACAGAAGAAGGACCGGCUAACUACGUG
rnacentral:rRNA from 1 species